AAAUAGAUACCCGGGUAGUCCACGCCGUAAACGAUGGAUGCUAGCUAUUGGGGGGAAUCGACCCCCGUCCGAAGCGAAGCUAACGCGUUAAGCAUCCCGCCUGAGUAGUACGAGCGCAAGCUUAAAACUCAAAGGAAUUGACGGGGACCCGCACAAGCGGUGGAGCGUGUGGUUUAAUUCGAUGGUAAACGAAGAACCUUACCAAGGUUUGACAUCCCGGUAGCCGUUCUCCGAAAGGAGAAUUUCAUUUAGUUGGACCGGUGACAGGUGAUGCAUGGCCGUCGUCAGCUCGUGUCGUGAGAUGUUGGGUUAAGUCCCGCAACGAGCGCAACCCUUAUGAUUUAGUUGGAUUUUUCUAAACAGACUGCCCUGGUAACAGGGAGGAAGGAGGGGAUGAUGUCAGGUCAGUAUUUCCCUUACACCUUGGGCGACACACGCGCUACAAUGGCCGGUACAAUGGGCAGCUAAGCCGCGAGGUGGAGCAAAUCCCAUCAAAGCCGGUCCCAGUUCGGAUUGCAGGCUGAAACCCGCUGCAUGAAGUCGGAAUCGCUAGUAACC
rnacentral:rRNA from 1 species